AUGAGCUUCCUCUAUAAGUGACUAAAACUCGGUCAUAUGACCAAAUGCAGCUCAUAAGAAAGCAUUGAAUUCAGUGCUUUCCUAUGAUAUUUAAUUGGAUGCACACGACGCUUGCCGCGCACGUGCAUUCAUCCCCGAAGCUCCUCUAUGAGGAGCACUGGAGUGGACCAUCUCAGAGAGAGCGACACCUGCUGGAUGAUAUUGCAGGAGAAGGAACAGGUAGCAGCUCCGAGGGGGUCUCGGGCUAGAGAAAAGGUAAGUAAACUUUUUACAUGAAAACAGAUUCAAAUCCAAAAAGUGGCCUUAGGAAGGGGUCACCAAAUUAUUUCUGGACUCAAGCCCCAAGUGUUUUUUGACCCUAGCAACUCCCCUUGUUGAAUGCGUAGGAGGAAGUCUGUGGUGGGGUUGUUUCUGUGCAUGGGCUGUUUGUGGUGUUGUAUGUGUGUGCAUGUGAACAGUGGUGUAAGAGAACCUUGCAGAAAAGCUUGCAUACCCAGAGACUAUGGGCCCUUUGUGACACUUACAGAAUAAGUGGACAUAUAAGCGGCUAAUAUUGUGUAAAUGCUAUAUUCUACAAUCUGUGUUUUUGGAGUGUGGAGACGUUAUGUGUGUAAGUUUAAUUCAAUCAGUAGAGCUUCUCACUUUGAUUAUGUUAGUGGUGCUCAGACACUCUGGCACCAGGGUGGGUGCAAUGUAAUUAAACCUGUUAUUGUUAUUGGUUACUUUCCCAAGUCCUGUCACUAUUAUUGGCUUUUAUGCUUUAUCCUCCCUUGUGUUUCCCUAUAAAAAUAGAUGUCACCAUCAAUACACAUUGUCCUUCCCUUCACUAAGUCUUGUGUGGUGUUCGAGGAGAGAUACAAAAGAGCUACCUGAUACUCCCAUAAGUGGCUGGUUGAGGUUAGUGGAAGAACUCCUGGAGCAUGCUACACUGCGCCCUUGUGAACAGGGACAAAUGACAAAUGCUGUAACAGGACAUUUUUGGUCAUCAAGCCUGAGACCAGGCUAAACUGCUCCUCUUACAAGUGGCUGUAUGUG